CGCACCUUGCGCUCCUUGGUAUUCCGAGGAGCAUGCCUGUUUGAGUGUCAUGAAAUUCUCAACCUCUCUAGUUUCUUCUGAGCUAGUUAGGCUUGGACCAUGGAAGUUGCUGGCUCUAUUCGAAACAGCUCUUCUCAAAUAUAUUAGCAAAGGCUCGUGCUGAUCAACUCUGGUAUGAUAAUUAUCUAUAUCACGGUUGACCAGUUCCCUUUUAUUAGGGAGGUCUUGCUUCUAAUCGUCUUUCAGACAACUUUGAUAACUUUUGACCUCAAAUCAGGUAGGACUACCCGCUGAACUUAA
rnacentral:misc_RNA from 1 species